GUCUGCUUUUCUUCCAACAGUUUGGUGGAACCUGAUUCUUCUAUUACGGCUGGGAUCUUUGUGAUUCCUCCGGCCCACCCAGAAACACGGGAUCCUCUUCCUGUUUUAAGGUCAGCUGAUUAGCAAACUUAAUUCCCUUUUGUUUCGUAACCUAACAAAUACACAGGUUCUGAGGAGAUGUGGUAGGAAGGGGUGUUAUUCUGCCAACUUCUUUUGUGAGGACUGUGUCUAUUUGGCAAAUACUCUUAUUUUUUUUUUUUUGAGAUGGGGUCUUGCUCUGUCACCCAGGCUGGAACACAGUGGUGCAAUCAUGGCUCACUGCAGCCGUGAUGGAGGGUGGUGCUCAAACCAAUGUUAAUUUACAAAGGAUGGGAGCUCAGAGUGAUUCUCCCAAGACAAGACUGCCAGAGGGUGGGGUCCUGCUCAUCUGAGAGAUGGCGAUCUGCACUGGCAGAAAGCAAAAGGACAAGAUUAAGUCCAUUCUGAAGACACCCAGCAUUGUGGUGUCUUGGCUGCCCAACCUCCACUGGUGAGACGUGAAGUUCUUAUGUGUAUAGAAAAGCAAUAAAGCUCCCCCUGUGCAAAUGGAAC
rnacentral:lncRNA from 1 species